GACGAACCGUGCGAAUGUUGUUCGGAAUCACUGGGCUUAAAGGGCGCGUAGGCGGCCACCGCAAGUCGACUGUGAAAUCUCCGGGCUUAACCCGGAAAGGUCAGCCGAUACUGCGGGGCUAGAGUGCAGAAGGGGCAACUGGAAUUCUCGGUGUAGCGGUGAAAUGCGUAGAUAUCGAGAGGAACACCUGCGGCGAAGGCGGGUUGCUGGGCUGACACUGACGCUGAGGCGCGAAAGCUAGGGGAGCGAACGGG
rnacentral:rRNA from 1 species